rnacentral:rRNA from 1 species
GACGAACGCUGGCGGCGUGCCUAAUACAUGCAAGUAGAACGCACAGUUUAUACCGUAGCUUGCUACACCAUAGACUGUGAGUUGCGAACGGGUGAGUAACGCGUAGGUAACCUGCCUGGUAGCGGGGGAUAACUAUUGGAAACGAUAGCUAAUACCGCAUAAUAUUGAUUAUUGCAUGAUAAUUAAUUGAACGGUGCAAUUGCACCACUACCAGAUGGACCUGCGUUGUAUUAGCUAGUAGGUGAGGUAACGGCUCACCUAGGCGACGAUACAUAGCCGACCUGAGAGGGUGAUCGGCCACACUGGGACUGAGACACGGCCCAGACUCCUACGGGAGGCAGCAGUAGGGAAUCUUCGGCAAUGGACGAAAGUCUGACCGAGCAACGCCGCGUGAGUGAAGAAGGUUUUCGGAUCGUAAAGCUCUGUUGUAAGAGAAGAACGGGUGUGAGAGUGGAAAGUUCACACUGUGACGGUAUCUUACCAGAAAGGGACGGCUAACUACGUG